GAGUGAUAGGGAGGGAGGGACCGACCGCCAUGAGAAGGAGGGGAGCGCCCAGGGUCAGGCUUGGAAAACGUAAUUUAAGCGCACUGGGAGAUGAGUUCGGAAGACGAAAGGCUCAGGGUCCCACCGUCCCCUGUGAUUGGAUGGAGUGUCUCGCAUUUUACAUUGUCCCUGAGAGGAGAGGAGCCCUUUGGAAAAGUCUGAAAAGCUAACAUUGAACUGGGACAUAACAGCAGCCUUGGGACAUCAGAGCCUGCUUGUGCCUGCUCUGCACUAUUGGAUGUUUUUAUGUGUACUACAUUAAGAGCUUCCAUCUCUCUGGACAAAGGGGAGAAGCGCUUCCGUGGGAAAAGGAGUUAAAGGAAGCAGAAAUCAAGACAUGCCAG
rnacentral:lncRNA from 10 species